rnacentral:rRNA from 1 species
AUGGGGGCGAUUGGAGGCAACGAGUCCGUGCAGUGGGACAAGAUGAAUGGGGCGGAGGUGGUGAAUGGCGGUGGGAGUGGCGCAGGAAGCCUGGAUAGGAUACAGGUGUUAGUGAGGGUGAGGCCGCUGAGUGACAAGGAGAUUGCAAGGGGUGAGCCUGCCGAGUGGGAGUGCAUCAAUGACACCACCAUCAUGUUCCGGAGUACCUUCCCGGAUCGACCCACGGCUCCAACCGCAUACACAUUUGACAGGGUAUUUCAUUCUGAGUGCAGUACGAAAGAAGUCUACCAGGAAGGGGUCAAGGAAGUUGCCCUCUCUGUAGUUGGUGGCAUUAACUCAAGUGUUUUUGCGUACGGGCAAACAAGUAGUGGAAAGACAUACACUAUGACUGGAGUGACAGAAUGCACAGUAGCAGAUAUAUAUGAUUAUAUUAACAAGCAUGAGGAGAGAGCAUUCGUGUUGAAGUUCUCAGCAAUUGAAAUAUAUAAUGAAGUUGUUAGGGAUCUUCUGAGUGCAGAAAAUACUCCUCUUAGACUUUGGGAUGAUGCAGAGAAAGGCACCUACGUGGAGAAUCUUACGGAGGUUAUAUUAAGGGACUGGAACCACCUCAAGGGGCUUAUUUCCGUUUGCGAAGCUCAAAGGAGAACGGGGGAGACCUUCUUAAAUGAAAAAAGCUCCAGAUCACAUCAAAUACUUAAAUUGACUGUUGAAAGUUCUGCUCGUGAAUUCUUAGGAAAGGACAAGUCAACUACCCUUGUGGCUAGUGUGAACUUUGUUGAUUUGGCAGGAAGUGAGCGUGCAUCUCAGGCUAUGUCAGCUGGCACAAGGCUGAAAGAAGGUUGCCACAUCAAUAAAAGUUUGCUUUCCCUUGGCACUGUCAUUAGGAAGCUAAGCAUGGGGAGUAAUGCACACGUACCGUAUAGAGACUCCAAGCUUACACGCAUAUUACAACCUUCUUUGGGAGGCAAUGCAAGAACUGCAAUUAUUUGUACACUCAGCCCUGCAACAAGUCACAUUGAGCAAUCAAGGAAUACACUCUUUUUCGGGAGUUGUGCAAAGGAUGUAGUUACAAAUGCCCAGGUUAAUGUGGUCAUGUCCGAUAAAACACUAGUUAAGCAUUUGCAGAAGGAAGUUGCUAGACUGGAGAGUGAGUUGCGGCAGCCAGUUUCAAACUCUAGUCUGGAAGCACAGGUGAAGGAAAAGGACAACCAAAUCAGAAAGAUGGAGAAAGAAAUAAAAGAACUGAAGUCGCAACGUGAUUUGGCUCAGUCCAGGUUGCAGGAUUUGCUGCAAGUUGUUGGUGAUCGUGACCCAAAGCACCAGGUCUCAGGAAAGCGUUCAAUCAGAAGUCCUCCUUCUGUUGGAAUGCCCCCAAGCGCUAGCAGAGAUGACAGUUCUCAGAUCUCUCAUGAUGAUUCAGAUCAUUACAAGGAAGUGCGAUGUAUUGAGCCAAAUGAAACGGGAGGAAAUGAACGUUUGUCUUUGUCAGCUGGAGAAAGUACCAGCCCACAAGCUUCAAAUAGGAAUUCUAGCAUGCGUGGUAAUGAUUCAACAGCUUCAGUGAAUUCAAGGCGUCUUGGUGAACCUCCUAUUACCUUGGAGCAACAUUUGGAGAACAUCAGAAGGCCUUUUAUCACUAAAGAUCUAGGGUCUUCAACACGCAACCCAUCAAGUUGUAGAGUAAUUGGUAGAAGCAGGAGCUGUAGAUCACUAACAGGGUCUACUUUACUUGAUGAGAUGGAGAUGGAGGAUUGCACACCAGUAAACAGAAGUUUGGUAAUCUUCCCAGGAAGACCUGAAGAGUACCAGAGAAGAGGAUCUGCAUUGAACUACGAUGCAGGCAGUGAGACUCUUUCAAGGGCAGGAUCUGAAAUUAGCACUUCAAAGGGAGCUAGCAAGACAGGUGAUGCAGAAUUUACCGGUAUAGGUGAAUUUGUUGCUGAACUUAAGGAGAUGGCUCAGGUUCAUUAUCAGAAACAGUUAGGUGACCAGAGUGGGAAUGGAAAGAGCAUCGGAUUAGACCCAAUCAUGGAUGGUUUGCAAUCACCUUCGCGAUGGCCAUUGGAAUUCGAGAAGAAACAGCAGGAGAUCAUUGAGCUCUGGCACGCUUGCAGCAUUUCGUUGGUCCACAGGACUUACUUCUUCUUGCUGUUCAAAGGAGAAUCAGCCGAUUCGAUUUACAUGGAAGUGGAGCUUCGAAGGCUGUCGUUCCUCAGAGACACCUACUCUAGGGGAAGCACCCCCAGCAAUGUGACCGUAGGCAGCCUCAGCUCUUCCCCCGUCGCGAGCGCCAAGAAGCUGCAGCGCGAGAGGGAGAUGCUGGCGAGGCAGAUGCAGAAGCGGCUGUCCUUGGAGGAGAGGAACCACAUGUACACCAAGUGGAGCGUGUCGCUGGACUCCAAGAAGAGGAAGCUGCAGGUGGCUCGCCGGCUGUGGACGGAGAGCAGAGACCUGGAGCACGUGAGGGAGAGCGCGUCCCUGGUGGCCAAGCUGAUCGGGCUCCAGGAGCCCGGGCAGGUCCUGAGGGAGAUGUUCGGGCUCAGCUUCGCGCCGCAGCAGCCCCCCGCCCGGCGGUCCUCCAACGGCUGGAGAUACGGGAUCCCCUCCUUUGGCUGA